rnacentral:rRNA from 1 species
CAGCCGCCGCGGUAACACCAGCCCCUCGAGUGGUGGGGACUAUUAUUUGGCCUAAAGCGUCCGUAGCUGGCUGUAUCCGUCUCCCGGUAAAUCCGGCGUCCUAAGCGUCGGUUCUCGGGUGAUACCAUACAGCUAGAGGGUGGGAUAGGUGAGCGGUAUUUCUGGGGUAGGGGCGAAAUCCUUUGAUCCCAGGAGGACCACCAAUGGCGAAGGCUGCUCACUAGAACACGCCUGACGGUUAGGGACGAAAGCUGGGGCAGCGAACCGGAUUAGAUACCCGGGUAGUCCCAGCUGUAAACGAUGCUAGCUAGGUGUUGGGUCGGCCACGCGCCGCCCCAGUGCCGCAGGGAAGCCGUUAAGCUAGCCGCCUGGGGAGUACGGCCGCAAGGCUGAAACUUAAAGGAAUUGGCGGGGGAGCAC